rnacentral:rRNA from 1 species
UACGUAGGGGGCAAGCGUUGUCCGGAAUCAUUGGGCGUAAAGCGCGCGUAGGCGGCCCGGUAAGUCCGUUGUGAAAGUCAAAGGCUCAACCUUUGAACGCCGAUGGAUACUGCCGGGCUAGAGUCCGGAAGAGGCGAGUGGAAUUCCUGGUGUAGCGGUGGAAUGCGCAGAUAUCAGGAGGAACACCAAUAGCGAAGGCAGCUCGCUGGGACGGUACUGACGCUGAGGCACGAAGCGUGGGGAGCGAACAGGAUUAGAACCGUCGGUAGUCA